GUGGGUCGGCUCCUCUCAAAUGAAUUAGCUUGCCAGUGUUUGGUGGCGUCACAGGUGUGAUAACUAUCUACGCUUGUGGUUUUCCACCAGGUAACCUCCAGCAAUGGGGGUUCACUGGAGCUCACAAAUGUCUCUCCUCGGUGAGGACAGCUCUUUGAACGUUUGAUCUCAAAUCAGGUAGGACUACCCGCUGAACUUAA
rnacentral:misc_RNA from 1 species